rfam:Myotis davidii contig144731, whole genome shotgun sequence.
GCCAGUGUGGCUCAGUGGUUGAGCAUCAACCUAUGAACCAGGAGGUCCAGGUUUGAUUCCUGGUCAAGGGCA